CCUACGGUGGUCAGCAGUGAGGAAUAUUGGUCAAUGUCCGAGAGGCUGAACCAGCCAAGUCGCGUGAGUGAAGAAUGUCCUAUGGAUUGUCAACCUCUUUUGUCAGGGAGCACAGUCACCCACGUGUGGGUGUUGUAUAGUACCUGAAGCAAACGCAUCGGCUAACUCCGUGCCAGCAGCCGCGGUAAUACGGCGGAUGCGAGCGUUAUCCGGCUUUAUUGGGUUUAAAGGGUGCGUAGGCGGGUUCUCAAGUCAGAGGUAAAAUCGUGGAGCUCAACUCCAUCCAGCCGUUGAAACUGAUGAUCUUGAGUGGGCGAGAAGUAUGCGGAAUGUGUGGUGUAGCGGUGAAAUGCAUAGAUAUCACGCAGAACUCCGAUUGCGAAGGCAGCAUACCGGCGCCCGACUGACGCUGAAGCACGAAAGCGUGGGUAUCGAACAGGAUUAGAUACCCCAGUAGUC
rnacentral:rRNA from 1 species